CUGACCGAGGAAAAACUCAGUAUAUAUAUAUAUAUAUAUAUAUAUAUAUAUAUAUAAACAAUUAACGAGUUCGUAAAGUUUUCCAGGGCUGUUUAAAGUCAAGAUGAAUCCGUCAGUUAUUUUCACGGACUUGUGGCUGAGCUGCACGUGUUUACCUUCGGAACACGUCACGGAGACGCGAGUCACAUCAUGGACCAGAGCAUCCCUCUCUCCACAUCAGCUGUCCAUCUGCCAAACACCACAACUCCACUCAUCCUGUCCCCUCACUUCCCUCCCUCCCACGCUCCAUUCUUCUCCGGCCCAUUAAGAGCUAUCAUGAAGCUAAUUGCCUGUUUGAUCAACUCUCUAUGGACCAGGAACUGGAGGCUUUUAGCCCUCUGAGCGUAAAAGGAGAGACGGACGAGGCAGGAGGGAUGUAAGGAUGUGUGGGAAAAAUACGCCUCGUGUCAGCUGGCUUUCACUGGUUGGGUUAGGUUGUAAUUGUUUUUUUUAUUUUUUGUGCUGUGGACAUUUCAAAAGAGAGAAUGAGGGGAGAAAAACAUAUAUAUAUUUUUUAUCUUUCUGUGCCACUUGCUGGAAGAUUUUCUGUCCUGUGAGCAACACAUUGUAGAGCGCUGUGGCAGAGGGCAUCCAGUAUAGAUAGACCUGAGCCUCAGCGAGCCUCAUCAAGCUCAUGAAGGGCCAUGUUCUCAAAGUAUCUUGCACACUUGAGCUUCUGAGAGGGGGUGGGGUUAUUCCUGACAGACUGCUGGGAUAUCCAAAGGUUUUUAAAGCUGCAUAACUCCAUUUUUCUCCAGGGUAAUUGGAUUGUUUCGAUUUG